rnacentral:rRNA from 1 species
GACGAACGCUGGCGGCGUGCUUAACACAUGCAAGUCGAACGGAAAGGCCUUUUCGGCGGUACUCGAGUGGCGAACGGGUGAGUAACACGUGGGUGAUCUGCCCUGCACUCUGGGAUAAGCCUGGGAAACUGGGUCUAAUACCGGAUAGGACCGCACUUUAGUGUGUGUGGUGGAAAGUUUUUUCGGUGUAGGAUGAGCCCGCGGCCUAUCAGCUUGUUGGUGGGGUAAUGGCCUACCAAGGCGGCGACGGGUAGCCGGACUGAGAGGUUGGUCGGCCACAUUGGGACUGAGAUACGGCCCAGACUCCUACGGGAGGCAGCAGGGGGGAAUAUUGCACAAUGGGCGCAAGCCUGAUGCAGCGACGCCGCGUGGGGGAUGACGGCCUUCGGGUUGUAAACUCCUUUCGCCAGGGACGAAGCGUUUUGUGACGGUACCUGGAGAAGAAGCACCGGCUAACUACGUG